rnacentral:sRNA from 2 species
UCAUGCCUCUGAUGGACCUGGCCCGAGGUUAAAAAAAUUUGGGUUCCGCAACACAAAAGCUUCGCUGUUGAGUUUGACUUUUGGAGCGGGUGUGGUGAAGCUUGGUUACGAAUGGGGGGAUAUGCAGCAGAGAACGUGGAUAUAGCUUGCUCGGAUGUAAGACAUUUCAUCCCUCUGCACCAACCACGACUUGGGGACAGACAUUCAAUCCAUUCUGUCUCACGGGAAGCAUGAGGCAGGGUAUCUCGGCUGGCAACUUGAUGGAAAAAUAAUAUCAAAGGGAAACAGGCAGACAUAGCGGAAAGAAAAACAAGACCGAAACAUCCCACCAAUCCAUAUCCAAAACUAUAAUAACCCUUCCCUCUCUGCACGCGCAGAUAUAGCAAAAUUUGAACUUGAGCCA